rnacentral:rRNA from 1 species
AUGACUUCACCAAAAGGGAACCAACUAGCUGCAGUUGCAGAGCAGAAUGAUCCUUUAGCAGAAACCAAUAAGGCUAUGCAAAUGAAUUCUUCCCAGCGUAAGCGUAAGCGUUACCGCGACUGGGAUAGGUAUUUGCAAAUGACUGCAUAUCAGAGGGAAGCCUAUCUGCAAAGGAAUCGUGAGUAUAAAAGAAUGCGGCGUGAGUGCAGUGCAAGUCGUAACAACACACAACCAGCACCACAACAGAAAAUUUUGAGAGCUAAUAAUAAGAACCAAUCCAUGACAGGAGAGGAAGUCGUGGGCAGUUCCAACUAUGAGAGGCACGAUUCAGUAUUUACUCAACUAGGGUCUUCAUCAAAAGGCAAACAAGGAUCAGAUAGUGGUGGUUCUGAGACAAGCCGUCCAAAAGCUGGAACUCGGUUCACUAUCAGUCCAUAG